rnacentral:rRNA from 1 species
GGUUAAGCGACUAAGCGUACACGGUGGAUGCCCUGGCAGUCAGAGGCGAUGAAGGACGUGCUAAUCUGCGAUAAGCGUCGGUGAGGUGAUAUGAACCGUUAUAACCGGCGAUUUCCGAAUGGGGAAACCCAGUGUGUUUCGACACACUAUCAUUAACUGAAUCCAUAGGUUAAUGAGGCGAACCGGGGGAACUGAAACAUCUAAGUACCCCGAGGAAAAGAAAUCAACCGAGAUUCCCCCAGUAGCGGCGAGCGAACGGGGAGGAGCCCAGAGCCUGAAUCAGUGUGUGUGUUAGUGGAAGCGUCUGGAAAGGCGCGCGAUACAGGGUGACAGCCCCGUACACAAAAAUGCACAUAUUGUGAGCUCGAUGAGUAGGGCGGGACACGUGGUAUCCUGUCUGAAUAUGGGGGGACCAUCCUCCAAGGCUAAAUACUCCUGACUGACCGAUAGUGAACCAGUACCGUGAGGGAAAGGCGAAAAGAACCCCGGCGAGGGGAGUGAAAAAGAACCUGAAACCGUGUACGUACAAGCAGUGGGAGCCUCUUAAUGGGGUGACUGCGUACCUUUUGUAUAAUGGGUCAGCGACUUAUAUUCUGUAGCAAGGUUAACCGAAUAGGGGAGCCGAAGGGAAACCGAGUCUUAACUGGGCGUUAAGUUGCAGGGUAUAGACCCGAAACCCGGUGAUCUAGCCAUGGGCAGGUUGAAGGUUGGGUAACACUAACUGGAGGACCGAACCGACUAAUGUUGAAAAAUUAGCGGAUGACUUGUGGCUGGGGGUGAAAGGCCAAUCAAACCGGGAGAUAGCUGGUUCUCCCCGAAAGCUAUUUAGGUAGCGCCUCGUGAAUUCAUCUCCGGGGGUAGAGCACUGUUUCGGCAAGGGGGUCAUCCCGACUUACCAACCCGAUGCAAACUGCGAAUACCGGAGAAUGUUAUCACGGGAGACACACGGCGGGUGCUAACGUCCGUCGUGAAGAGGGAAACAACCCAGACCGCCAGCUAAGGUCCCAAAGUCAUGGUUAAGUGGGAAACGAUGUGGGAAGGCCCAGACAGCCAGGAUGUUGGCUUAGAAGCAGCCAUCAUUUAAAGAAAGCGUAAUAGCUCACUGGUCGAGUCGGCCUGCGCGGAAGAUGUAACGGGGCUAAACCAUGCACCGAAGCUGCGGCAGCGACGCUUAUGCGUUGUUGGGUAGGGGAGCGUUCUGUAAGCCUGUGAAGGUGGCCUGUGAGGGUUGCUGGAGGUAUCAGAAGUGCGAAUGCUGACAUAAGUAACGAUAAAGCGGGUGAAAAGCCCGCUCGCCGGAAGACCAAGGGUUCCUGUCCAACGUUAAUCGGGGCAGGGUGAGUCGACCCCUAAGGCGAGGCCGAAAGGCGUAGUCGAUGGGAAACAGGUUAAUAUUCCUGUACUUGGUGUUACUGCGAAGGGGGGACGGAGAAGGCUAUGUUGGCCGGGCGACGGUUGUCCCGGUUUAAGCGUGUAGGCUGGUUUUCCAGGCAAAUCCGGAAAAUCAAGGCUGAGGCGUGAUGACGAGGCACUACGGUGCUGAAGCGACAAAUGCCCUGCUUCCAGGAAAAGCCUCU